ACAUGCUCAACCCGGAAGCGUUGAGCAGGUAGAAAUGAUUUCCCCGCGGUAGAUUCGUGUGACAUUACAGGUGGAUAAAGGACGAUGUAAUGGUUUGGAUGCUUGGAAAGGAAACAUGGAGUUUUGUUUUCUUCGUUGUCUUCUUGUCGCCGUCCUUUCGAGCUUGGCUUUAGGAGACGAUGGACAGGUGACAUUCGUAUCCGAGCUGUCUGCAAAACCUGCACAGAAGUUGUCAAAGUACGGCUGGUACGGCAACGUGAGGCUGCAGAAGUUCCACAUACCUGAGGAAACGGCCAUCGCUCGCUGGCUGUUCUCCGUCACCAAAGGCCACAACUUCUACUGCGGACAGCACAACGUCACCAUCCACAUUCGAUGGGGUGCCCCUCCAGUAAUAAACCCCACAGGCUCUGUGUUUCCCAAUUCAACACUAUGGAGCCCUGUGCUGUCUCUGAUCCUACCUGUGACAUCACACAGCUCCACAACCUUAAACCUCACCAGUCCUGCUUCAGGUGAUUGGUACAUUGGCGCCCAUUUGCCUGAAGAUGACGGACGCAUUGAGCAGAAGGGCUUCCCGUCCUGCUCCUACUUCUUCCAGCCUCAGCUGUCAGUCAGGAGAGUGGUGGACACACCCAUUUUACAGCAGGGCACAAUCCUCAAGCAGACUGCAGCCCCUGAUAGACCUUCGCGCCUUAAGUUGUAUGUUCCAGAGUUUGCCUCCUCUCUCUCCGUCUCCCUGGCCGACUGCUCCUCAGAGGAUGGCGCCCACAGCGGGAACUGUUCACUCGUCCUCAAGCUCGGCUCCUCCUCUCCUCAGCACAACGCGCUCACAGUGAACUGCUCAGGGAUCAGCUGCUCUGCUACUCUUUCUAACCCACCGUGGGACACCUGGUUAAGAGUUGUUGUGGAGAGCAGCCGUGAGAACCAGACUGUGACCUUUAGUAUUGUCUCGAGUUACACAGUGGGAUGUAAGCCAAAAAGUGUCGGACUCACAGCAGAUAAUGACAUCAACAAGCUUCGCGGCAACAGCAGCUACAUCAACGCAACAUCAGCAGGAAACGGCUCCGUGGACGCAGACACAGUCGGCUUUGGCAACAAAUCCACGGCCCUGUUAACACCACUGUUGGCGACGGCGUGCAUGUGGAGCUUCCCUGUGCUCUACGAGGAGGUGGACAUUCUGUCGCUCCGGUUCACGCCUGUCAACGGACCCAAUGUCAGCGUUUCAAACACACACCCCUCUCUGCUCACAUACCCGCUGCACACACAGGCUACUGGAGGGACACUGAACCUACAGCUCACACUCAACACUACUAAUUUAACCCUGGGCAACAGCAGCAGUGUGGUGGCCUGUCUCACUCCCUGGGCUCCAAUCCUGGAACUCAACAACUCUCAAGCCUGCCGCACAGCUUUGUAUGGAGGAUAUGGAGUCAGUGUGAAUGUCAGUGCUCCGAAAGCUGUGGUCAGGCUGCCUUUCCCUCAGUCAACAACGUGGUACCUCACCCUGCAGCUCACAUGCAACGGCAGUGACUGUGGGAACACAUCAGUGGUAUCAGUGGUUCCUGAGGUCUCUAUCAGUGCCUGUGUGGAAGACUGUGGGACGUACGGUGAAUGUAGACUGCUGAGGUCCUACAGCUACCUGUACGCUGCUUGUGUCUGCAAAGCUGGCAGGAGUGGUUGGGGCUGCACUGAUGACACAUCAGCUCAGUCAUACCUGCGGCAGGUGACGGCGACUCUUCUGCUCACGCUCAGCAACCUUUCCUUCCUGCCCGCCAUCGUGGUUGCUGUCAGACGCUGUUACAUCACCGAGGCCUCCGUCUACCUCUUCACAAUGUUCUUCUCUACGUUCUACCAUGCAUGUGACCAGCCAGGUGUAGCCGUGAUGUGUAUAAUGGACUACGACACCCUGCAAUACUGUGACUUCCUGGGGUCGGUCUGUUCCAUCUGGGUCACCAUCCUGUGCAUGGCUCGCAUCAGAGAUACAUUCAAAUAUACCUUGUUCAUGCUCGGGGCUCUGCUGAUAGCCAUGUCAAUGCAGCUGGACCGUAAAGGUCUGUGGAACCUGCUAGGCCCUGUGCUCUGUGCCAUCCUGUUCAUGGUCUCUGCCUGGGUGUACCGAGGUGUUCGGCGACGCCAUUGUUAUCCACCUUCGUGGAAGCGCUGGGUCCUCUAUCUGAUCCCCGGAGCGCUCUGCGCCCUGAUUGGAGUUUGUCUGUACAUUUUCGCAGAAACGGAGGACAACUACUUUUACACACACUCGCUGUGGCACAUCCUGGUGGCCAGCUGCGUGGUGUUCCUGCUGCCACCAAAGGAGAGGGAAAGGGAGGCGUUAGGGUGGAGCAGAGGAUGGAGCUGGACCUGGACCUGGAGCUGGAGACCCCGGGUCUGUGGGUACACGCUGUGCGAGAGCAGCAAAGACGAACUCUACACUGUCACAUAGAGGACAUGAGAAUGCAAAGUGACCAGAUAUUGAUUGUUAAAAAGCAUUAAAGUUUGUUCUGGACUUUUCCAUCCUAUAAUGUGGCCUUCAUCAUCACCAUCAGCAAAGGAACUCUCAUCAAACGUUUUGUUCUCACAUCAUUAAACUACAGAACUCUAAAGAAUAUUUAUUCAGCUACUUUAUUAAAUGACAUUUUUUUUAUGCAUUUCUACAGUGAUUGAUUAAUUUCAGCUUCUGAACAGUGGAGGUAAUUUUUGUUUUGGCCAGCUUUUGUUUAUCAGCUUUUAAUCAAGCAUGUCAUCAAUGUAAAUUCUUGGUAUACAGGGUGCUUUCUCCUCCAAAUCUCUAAUGUUAUGCGAAUAAUCUAAAUUACUUAGUUUUUUUUAUUAUUCUCCAGUGUCUUCUAAUCACUCAUGUCUAUUUCUCCUUCUUAAUCCUCACCAGUUGUACUUUUCUUUUUUUUUAUCUAUCGUGAUGCACUUUUAUGAUCACAAACAGAAUCACUAUGUCGUGUAAAUAACCCAUAAGUGUGUGAAAGGGCACUUUAUGAAUGUAUAUUAUUCAGAUUGCUGUGUCCAGUGCCUCAUCCUGUCUAUAUGUACUGUAAGAGUAUGUUUUUUUUGUCUCUUGCACCAGAAGAGCUGCUGAACACUCCCAAACUUUAUUUAAAGUGAGAUAUAUAUUUUAUGUAUUGUCUAUUUUUAAGUGUCCCAUACUGUGAUGAUUGUUUUUGCUUUGUGAUUUUGCACAGGUUUAACAUAACCUUCCUUUGGUUCUUUAAAUUGUUACUCUACUACUUCAUUUUGUUUUCACCACUUCACUAUACUGUAGAUCUCAAUACUUAGGGAUGGACAAAUGUAAUAUUCAAUUUAAAAUGUGAUUUUCAACCCUUGUGACAGACAGCUUCUUUUUAAUCUUUUAAAAAAUCCAAACAGCAUUUAUCCAACCAAAAAUAAAUCUGUUGUAU